rnacentral:rRNA from 1 species
UACGAAGGGGGCUAGCGUUGUUCGGAAUUACUGGGCGUAAAGGGCGCGUAGGCGGUGCUGUAAGUCAGGCGUGAAAUCCCCGGGCUCAACCUGGGAAUUGCGUUUGAUACUGCGGCGCUGGAAUGCGGGAGAGGAUGGCGGAAUUCCCAGUGUAGAGGUGGAAUUCGUAGAUAUUGGGAAGAACACCGGUGGCGAAGGCGGCCAUCUGGCCCGUAAUUGACGCUGAGGCGCGAAAGCGUGGGGAGCAAACAGG